UGCAGUCGAGCGAACGGAUAAGGAGCUUGCUCCUUUGAAGUUAGCGGCGGACGGGUGAGUAACACGUGGGUAACCUACCUAUAAGACUGGAAUAACUUCGGGAAACCGGAGCUAAUGCCGGAUAACAUAUAGAACCGCAUGGUUCUAUAGUGAAAGAUGGUUUUGCUAUCACUUAUAGAUGGACCCGCGCCGUAUUAGCUAGUUGGUAAGGUAAUGGCUUACCAAGGCGACGAUACGUAGCCGACCUGAGAGGGUGAUCGGCCACACUGGAACUGAGACACGGUCCAGACUCCUACGGGAGGCAGCAGUAGGGAAUCUUCCGCAAUGGGCGAAAGCCUGACGGAGCAACGCCGCGUGAGUGAUGAAGGUUUUCGGAUCGUAAAACUCUGUUAUUAGGGAAGAACAAAUGCGUAAGUAACUGUGCGCAUCUUGACGGUACCUAAUCAGAAAGCCACGGCUAACUACGUGCCAGCAGCCGCGGUAAUACGUAGGUGGCAAGCGUUAUCCGGAAUUAUUGGGCGUAAAGCGCGCGUAGGCGGUUUCUUAAGUCUGAUGUGAAAGCCCACGGCUCAACCGUGGAGGGUCAUUGGAAACUGGGAAACUUGAGUGCAGAAGAGGAAAGUGGAAUUCCAUGUGUAGCGGUGAAAUGCGCAGAGAUAUGGAGGAACACCAGUGGCGAAGGCGACUUUCUGGUCUGUAACUGACGCUGAUGUGCG
rnacentral:rRNA from 2 species